UACAUGGGGUGCAAACGUUGCUCGGAAUUAUUGGGCGUAAAGCGCACGUAGGCGGUUCGUUAAGUCGGAUGUGAAAGCCCUCGGCUCAACUGAGGAAGUGCACCCGAAACUAGCGAGCUUGAGUACGAAAGAGGAUCGCGGAAUUCCCGGUGUAGAGGUGAAAUUCGUAGAUAUCGGGAGGAACACCAGUGGCGAAGGCGGCGACCUGGGCCAAUAUUGACGCUGAGGUGCGAAAGCGUGGGGAGCAAACAGG
rnacentral:rRNA from 1 species